AUGGAUUCAAAAUUACCCAGGUGGUCUUGCAUACAUCAGAAAUGUAGAAUAUUAAUUUGGAAUGUUUGGAGAGUUGCCUUGAGAACAGGCAUUAGACGAUCACAGAGGGAGGCUGAACGCAAGGGGCGGAAGGAAACGCCUGGAGUCCCAGCGUGAGGCAGAGUGGAAGAAGGAGGAGGAGCAGCUUUGCCUGGAGGAGGAGCAGAAGGAGGAGGAGGAGAGGAAGGCCCGGGAGGAGCAGGCCCAGUGGGAGCACAAGGAGUACAGGAAGCUGAAGGAGGCCUUCGUGGUGGAGGAGGAAGGCGUGGGCGAGACCAUGACGGAGGAGCAGUCCCACAGCUUCCUGACAGAGUCCAUCAACUACAUCAGGGAGUCCAAGGUUGUGCUCUUGGAAGAUCUGGCUUCCCAGGUGGACCUGAGGACUCAGGACACCAUAAACUGCUGAGGGGACUCUAACAGGUGUGAUUGACAACCGGGGCAAGUUCAUCUAUAUAACCCCAGGGGAACUGGCUGCUGUGGCCAACUUCAUCCGACAGUGGGGCCGGGUGUCCAUCCCCGAGUUUGCCCAGGCCAGCAACUCCCUCAUCACCUGGGGCCAGGAGCCCCCUGCCCAGGCCCCAGCCUGACCCCAGCCCUUCCCUCUUGGACUCAGAGCUGCUGCGGCCUACCUGGCCACACAUCUUCAUCCCUCCCCACCUUCCUGGGGCAGUCAUGGAGUGUGGCCAGGCAGUUGUAGAUUAAAGGCCUGUGAGCACUG